rnacentral:tRNA from 1 species
CGCGCAGGGAGCGCCCGGUGGCGCCGGCGGUUUCGGCGGCGGCCUCGGGGACGUCUUCGGGGGCCUGUUCAACCGGGGCGGCGCGG